rnacentral:rRNA from 1 species
GGCCUAACACAUGCACGUCGAGCGGAUGAGUGGAGCUUGCUCCAUGAUUCAGCGGCGGACGGGUGAGUAAUGCCUAGGAAUCUGCCUGGUAGUGGGGGACAACGUUUCGAAAGGAACGCUAAUACCGCAUACGUCCUACGGGAGAAAGUGGGGGAUCUUCGGACCUCACGCUAUCAGAUGAGCCUAGGUCGGAUUAGCUAGUUGGUGAGGUAAAGGCUCACCAAGGCGACGAUCCGUAACUGGUCUGAGAGGAUGAUCAGUCACACUGGAACUGAGACACGGUCCAGACUCCUACGGGAGGCAGCAGUGGGGAAUAUUGGACAAUGGGCGAAAGCCUGAUCCAGCCAUGCCGCGUGUGUGAAGAAGGUCUUCGGAUUGUAAAGCACUUUAAGUUGGGAGGAAGGGCAGUAAGUUAAUACCUUGCUGUUUUGACGUUACCAACAGAAUAAGCACCGGCUAACUUCGUGCCAGCAGCCGCGGUAAUACGAAGGGUGCAAGCGUUAAUCGGAAUUACUGGGCGUAAAGCGCGCGUAGGUGGUUCGUUAAGUUGGAUGUGAAAGCCCCGGGCUCAACCUGGGAACUGCAUCCAAAACUGGCGAGCUAGAGUAUGGCAGAAGGUGGGUGGAAUUUCCUGUGUAGCGGUGAAAUGCGUAAAUAUNGGAAGGACACCAUUGGCUAAGGGCGACCACCUGGGCUAAUACUGACACUGAGGUGCUGAAAGCAUGGGGGAGCCAACCGGNUUAGAUACCCUGGGUUNNUCCCGCCUUAACCNAUUCCNCUAGCCGUUGGGAUCCUUUGAGAUCUUAUUGCGCAGCUAACCCAAUAAGUCCGACGCCUGGGGAAGUAUCGGCCACAAGGUUAAA